GUGGAGAAUGGUGGCGAAGGUGUCACCGAAGGUGGCGGUGAUGGUGGCGAUGAAGGUGGCGCCUAUGGUAGUGGCAAGUUCUAUGGGACGGGAUUUGGAUGCAAUUGUUUGGUGGAGGCUUAAGGAGUGGAGGAGAAGAAAAUCAUACCUGUAUUUAUAGGCCGUCAUUGGAUUCUCUUCUGAUUUGGUCAUCUUUGGGUGCUCUUUGGAUUCC
rnacentral:lncRNA from 1 species